GACAGAGUUCCCAGCUCACACCAGUGCUGGUGCCUUGGUUUCCUCCAAGUCGAUGCAUGGUGCUGGGGUUCCUGUCCCCAGGGCAGCAGUUCCAGAGCUGUCCCUCCCCUCCAUUUCCACACCUGCCCCACUAAAUCCCCAGAUCUCCCCCUCCCAGCUUCCCUCGUGAUGGACAGGGUACCACCCUCCCCUCUCUGCUCACAGCCACCUGCACCUCCAGGUCCCCCAAACCUGAUGGUGCAGAAGGAUCUGGGAUCUUUUUGGCUCCUCGCCCCAAGCAUCUCCAUCCCUGUUGCUCCCCAGGGAAACCAGGGAGGGCUGCCUUAGAGCUCCUGCAUCCACACGCAUCAGAUAUGUGUCACCCUGCUCCUGCACUCUCACCAAGGCUAUUUCCAACCCCCCAGGGUAUGCGGUUUCUCUCCAGGCUCCCACAGCUCCUUGGCUUUUCCAUCACCCCAUUGCCGAGCACUCUGCAACGUUCACCCACCACUUUCCCUGCCUUCCCUUGGUGGUCUCCAAAAUCCCCUUCCCCACGUCCCACACCCCCAAGAAACCUCUUGCUCCCCCCCCUCCCCCCCCCCCCCCAGCAAAGGGGAUUAAAAACCACAGUUCAUUUUUCAUGUGAUGUUAACAUAAAUUGGAAUUUCGCUGCUCUGGUUUCCGGGAGCCAAAGCUGAGAGGGUGGUAUGAGCACGGUAUUCCUGUAGGGUUUAGUCCUCAGAGGAUGCGCCUGGACCACAGCAUCAUCCUGGUGCUGGGCUCCAUUGUUCUGAAGAAUGUGCACGUGGUUAUCCCCUUGAAUAGCUCCUCCGAGACCCAGAAAUACUGCAGAGCUCCACAUGGCCAAAGGGUUUGCUCGUGUGGACACCAAAGUGCAUACCCCAAUGGCUCAGGGGGCUCAGCACGAUCAUUUCAGAUUGGUGUGACAAGCCUGGGGAUGAGGGAUGUGCUGGGGCUCUGCAUACCUCCCAGCCCACAGCUCUUAGCUUUCGGGUCUCUAGAACACAGACAGCAUCUUGCCCAGCUGUGAAUGAAGGGCAGACAUCAGCCAUGAACAGAGGACAAAAACAUCCAAGACAGGGAACCCCAAACUUCCAGGGUUCCCCAGCAAAUCAGCAUAGCAAAGGCAAUCUUUGUGUUUCCAUGAAGGCUCUUAAGUGCACACACAGCCUGAGGACAAGGAUGUUGUCAGACACUGGAAUUUACAGCAGCAAUUUAUUCAGAAGAAAGGCUCCAGGUGAAAAGGCCUAAGACUUGAAGAAGAGAGGAAGAAUUCUUCAUAGAUGCAAGUGGAAUACUUAUAAGUCAGUAUUUGUUCUUGCUGUGUUUCAGCCCAGCUGCUGCAAGAUUGCUUUGUCCAGGAGAACUCAGAACCACCCCUUAAACUUCAUUAAAAAUGUAUUUUUAAGCCUCUGGGGAGUCAGCCUGUUAUGACAAAUCCUUCCUUCCAAUCCAUCCAUGCCAUGGGAUGGCCUUGUGGUGGCCAACCCACAACAGGUGAUCCUUUUGGGAAGAGAAUAUUUUCAGCCCCAAACGUAGAGAAGCCAGAACAAAUCCACGUGGCAAUAAGAGGAGAGUUCAGAACAUUUCUUCCCAUGUUCUUGUUCUUGGAUACUAUUGACUCCAGGCUCACCAGGCCCCACUUGUGCUUCCAUCUCUAUGUGCUGGAACCUCCCACCAAGGUGCCCAGUGUGCGGUGCCCAUCCAGAGGUCUGAGCAGUCCCCUUGGAAUUACUCUCCCAUACGUACAAGCUCAGUGCAAAGAACCCAGCCAGGUGAUGGGGAAAGAUGUUCCCAUCACCCAGAGCCUUCAGACCUGGAUUUAUUUGCACAAAGAAGAAUCCAAAUCAAAAUACUGCAGGAGGUACCCUGGGGCUCGUGGGCAGCCCAUGCCACCCACUGCCUGGAGCCAAGACGCGGAGGGAGUCCCAUGGGCUGGGAAACAACAUGCUGUCAUUCUGCACACCGCUGUCACCUGGGGAGGGUCGAUGUUUUUGCUCCAAAAGCCUGCUAGCAAAACGCGAGGAAACUCUUUAUUGCCACUCCCUGCAGCUUGAAAAGGUUCUCAUCAGGAAGGGUGGAGGCAACGUGGUUUGUACUCUUGGAAGGGACAAGGCGUCCUCAGCAGAGCGAUCGCUCCCCUCACUGCAGCCUCUGUCCUGCACACAGCGAGUGUCCCCUGUUCCCUGACCUCAAAAGAGCAAAUAUGACAAGGGCAUCUCUUUUGGGUUUAUCUCAGGUGUUGACCAAACGGGGAAUGAGCAGCCAUUCCCAGCUGGGGACCACCUGUGUGUGAUUGUUCCCUCUGCUGGAAAAAGGACUUUGGCCAAAAAGGAGCUCUCUUGGUUGGUACAGUCAGAAUAACGUGGCUUUUACCCUGGAACAAGCACAGAGCCCUUGUGAUGAGCAGGGAGCAGUCUGAGGGAUGGGCACCGACAAGAUGUCAUUUCCCCCAAGCCCAAACUGGGGCAAAUGCAAAAGCCAGACUGCAGCCUCUACCACAGGCAGGUGUUCCCCAGGACCUUACUCCUGGUGCAUCCCCAGGGACCCAAAUCAGCAGUGCAUGGGGAUAGAGGCUCCCGAGAUGCUCACUACCACACUCUCCCCUUGCACUGCGUGCCUGUCCCAUCUCUUUUUGGUUUAAACUCCUGACAUCUCAAUCCCCGGUCUGAUGGAGUGCGUGGCUGUCAGCUCUGCCCACCCUAAUCCGCUCAUGGGGCUCCUAGGAGGGCUCUCAGGAGCCAUGGAGGAGGUUUCUCUUUUUUCACAUCAAGGAAAUUCAAGAGCCGGUUUCACAUUUGUUUUUCUUUCAAACUUGAGGCUUUGCAGAUAUUAAAAUAUAAUCCAGGAAGAAUUUGUUUUGUGAGGGAACAGUGUGGGACCGCCGAGGGGAGAGGGGUCAUGGGGGAGCGCAGGGAGGUGGGGGAGCAAAGGGAUUUUCAUUUCCCCUCCGAGUCCCCUUGGGAUCAAAGCCUUUACCUCCCUGUCAGUGGCAGUGGGGACGAUGGGACGCGCUCGGGGCUCGGUGGCUGUGGUGAAGACAAAAGGAACGCUUGUGGCAGGUGGUAAGAACUGGAGAAGAGGUGGGGAUCGUGGAGAAACGAGGAGAAAGGAGAGAGGAGAACACUUCUCCCGGUACCAAGUUGUUGCUCUGGGUUAAAAAGAAAACAAAUCAAAACAGAAGGAAAGGAAAAAAAACAACAAGAAAACAAAAAACAAAAGCUUAAUUUGUGUUAUAGGUAAACAGAGGAACUGGCAAGGCAGGACAGGAAGGCAGAGCCCCGUCAGAGCCCUGUGCCGCUCGAGGAGAUAAACAAGAACUCAAGAAAUGAGAAGAGUCUUAAGGUGAUGGCUCAACACAUGAGGAAAUACGGGGCAAAAGGCAGCUAUCAAGGAGAGGAAGCUGGAGAAGGGCAGCCUGCUCCGAGCAGUGAGGUCAGCGCUGCAAAAAUAGCACAGGGAAGCUUCCUGCAGGCAGCCAUCCAUGAGCACACAUGGCCCUGUGCUCCUCCUGCACACAGGUGGGCCCGGCUCCCAGCCCAAAAUUGGGCUGAAAUCUCCCAGCAGCACCAAGUUCCACCCACAAAGGGCUCCUCUGCUCCUGUCGCACCUGUGGCUGUGCUUUAUUUCCCAAGGAGCACCGCCAGCACAACGCUGCUCCGCUGGUGAUGUCCUGUUGGGUUGCCCUAACUGAAGAUCUCACUCUAAAGGCAUGAGGAAUGCGAGGCUGCGUCCACUGAAAACAGCUAUUUCUCUUGAAUGAGUGUCAAAACUGGCGCUGGCCGUUUGUCAGUGCAACAGACAGACAGACAGACAGACACCCUCCCGGCUCGGUGGAUCCCCAGCUUGGUUGUGCAGAGAACUCAUCACUCCAGCAGUGCAAGGCACAGCACUGGGACAGCAGCCAGCUGAGCGGGGCCCAAUGCUGGCAGAGCGCUCUGUUUGGGUUCCCGAUGUGCCAGGGGUCUCAAGGCUUGUUUGGAGUUCAUCUCCACGCGGCGGCUUGGAUGGAGUCUGCCUUUCUGGUCACAAGCAGUUGGAUAUUCAUUCCAAUCCUGCUCUGUGACAAACAGCAUCCAUAAAUCUCUGGGCAAAGCCGAGGGAGCCUCGUCUUGCAUUACUCCAUGCUGCCCCUUUGGCGCUUUGAACCCCCGGUGCCCUCACAAGCAUGGAAGACUUAAUCGAUGUCCUAUCAAAAGGAGCAGAAUAAAUCUCGUUAUCUUAUGGGACAAGGUCACACUCCCUGUGUGGCCAUUUGGCAACAGAUGGGGCUGCUCCUGGGUUGUCCUCUCUUUGCAGGAAGUCUUCCAUCAACUUUUGCAACACAUGAGACUCUAUUCAUCUCCAAAAUGCAGUUUCAGCAGUUGGCCCUGCCUUGGCUUGCUCAGUGGGGUCACUUCCCAAACUUCCCAUUACGGUCCACCAAGGAUAUAACAUGGCACCGUGUCCAGCCUUGUCUCCAGGACCCAAAUGGGAUCCCUCUGAAUCUUCUCUGCUGCAUAUACCAGAUGAAAUGAGAACAGAUGUCUUUUCCUAGCAUCUGUGUUAGUUCAGAACAGGACACCCCAAACCCAGCCCUUACUUCUCCAAUUUCUCUGAAAUAAGACUUUUCAUAUUGGUCUUCUGUGCUCAGCUGGAUUGGUUUUUCAAGCUCACCUGCCCUCUGUUCUUGCUGCUUUGCUUCCUUCCAUGAUCCCAGUGAUUCAUUACAGGAUUGCAUAAAAGCCUGGCAAAAUCUCUGGGAAAUCGGCCUCUAACAUCAGCGAGUCUUGGGUCAGAAAUCCAAUUUUCCUGUCCCGUUGCUCCAGGCAAUGUCCAAGCCAUGGACCUGCUAGCCCCUCCAUUGGUCUAUGGGCAAGGACAGCUGUGCAGGCAGAAAUUCAUAUUUUGGGCUGAUUUUCCCUUUCACCCUCAGACAAGAAAGAGGAUGCACAGCUGAUAGCCACUGCGCUCAUGGCAGUGUUUGUUUGCAUUUCCAACAGCUUUUGAUAGAGCCGGGCUCCUGCCUGCACUGCCUGAGCUCUGGGGAGCACAGGGACGUGGGAGGACCAUGUUCCCAUCUGGGACAGGACAGGGCUGCUGGCAUUUUCAGCUGGAAACACGUUCCCUUCAAGGGACAAAGGGACACGUUAAGAGAGGAAGAAACCCUGUGCAGCCUGCAGGAAGGAGGGGGCUGAAAAGGACUUGACUUCACCAUCAGUGGGGAGAGAAGAUAGGGAUGGAAAACCAGAUUGCAUCCAGCUCAUGCCCCAUGGGGCAGAGGAUGCUGGGGCUGUGUGUGAAGGAGCUGCUCACCAGGCCUCCCAGCACAGAGGGAUGGGGUCUAUUCUGCCUGCCACCCUAUAGCCAUGACCCAUUUUCACUGUGACAUGUCUCAACUGUGGACUUUCUCCUUUUCGUCCCCCUGCUCGCUGUUCCUCCCCCCUCCCCUCAGCACAGGCAUUUGAUAUUUACUCUCAGGCUGGGAGGGACAGAGGAGGCUUUUCCUUGCGUUGCCCCUGCAUUGUUCCCCGCUGGUAUUUGGGAACAAGUGUGACAUUCAGGGGAGCCGCAGCGGACAAAGCCUGCCUGGAGGUAAUGGUAGCACAGGCGGCCGGAUCGGGUAUCAGCGGACGCGGGGCAUCCGAGAGCUUUUGACUGUGUCUUUUUUAGGAAGAGCUUUCUCAGCCUGGUAUCUCUCAGAUUAGGUUUUGUCCCCAGAGGAGCCCGUUGUGUCUCCUUUGUGAGCGCAGCUGUGGGAACCCGCGGCACGGUUCGGGCUGGGAGUUUUAGGACAAUGCUGAAAGGCACCGGUGCUCCUGGCCGACCCGACGCGUCCAGAGGGACCGCUCCCCAGCGAGGAGCUGCCGACAUCUGUUUGCCGGCGCUAUCUCUUCUCUACUCAGAUGUCUGUAGAAAAGCAGGUAUGCAUGGAAGCCCCGUGCCCUUGGCAAGCAGCCCCAGGCCUGAGCAAGGAGAUGGAGAGGGUGAGAUGCACACAAUCCACCGAGGAAUGGAUGGUGAUUGCUGAUCACUGUAUAAAAGUAUGGAUGGAGGAGGGUGCAUCCUCUCUUUCCUGGUUCUGCACUGGGGAAACAGAAACAACUCAAAAAACUCAGUGAUUAUUGGAGAAAGGCAUGGGGAGGCACAGGGCUGCCAGCAUCACAGGGACUGGUGUGACCCUGCCCAUGGGGGUGGGAGGAUGUCGGGAGCACCAGCAAGCCUGAGGAGCCUGCUUUGCCUCUUCCUCCCAAAGAAACCAGCACCCCUCCGCAGUCACAUUAAAAUAUCCGAUGUACUGCAGCUCCUGACUGCAUUCAGUCCCUAUAAAGACAGUGCUGGCUUUGCACUGCCUCACUGGCAGCACCCAACCCACCCAUCCCUUACCUCCAGCCUUCUCAUGCUCAAGGAUUGAUUCCUCCCUCCUCUCUGCUGAGUCCCUGUUCUGGAUUCAGGCAGACUUUUCAUCACAUUUAAUAUCCUG
ensembl:lncRNA